UCAGUGAAAUUAAUCUCCCCGUGAAGAAGCGGGGAUACCCAUAUAAGACGAGAAGACCCCAUGGAGCUUCAAACCCAACUACACCCCUAGCUCUUAUAGCCCCACAACCCCCCUAGGCACCGUGUGCUUGGUUUUAGGUUGGGGCGACCGCGGAGUACAAUAAAACCUCCACAAUGAAUGGGAACACCCCCUUAUCUGAGGGCCACACCCCCUAAGAAUUAGAACACUAACAUAAAAUGAUCCAUUACUUGAUCAAUGAACCAAGUUACCCUGGGGAUAACAGCGCAAUCCAUUUCAAGAGCCCCUAUCGACAAAUGGGUUUACGACCUCGAUGUUGGAUCAGGGUACCCCAGUGGUGCAGCAGCUACUAACGGUUCGUUUGUUCAACGAUUAAAACCCU
rnacentral:rRNA from 1 species